CAUCACCAACCUUAUAACAUUCUUACUAAAUUAUAUCCUCCACCUCUCACAAAACCAAUUUUUUUCAAGGCAAGAACCAUCACAACUCAACAAUUAUUUCUCAUGACAUUAUGUCUCUCUAAUGCAUCCUAUGUACCCAUUUUUCAAUUCUUUUGUUCUUUUUUUUUCUUUUUUUUUCUUUUUUCAACAACUUGUAAGGUAUUAGGAUUUUCAAUUUAAAACCACAAAACAUAACUCAUGAUCACUCAUCUCCACAACCCAAUUAUCUCCUAUCAAAUAGUCUCCAAACUCUCACCCAUAGCUAAAACAAAGAAUAUGGAAAAAUAAGGCUCAAAGGAGGUGAACUAGGAUCAUAUAUAGUCAUCGGACGAAUAUCGGAUAAAUAGGCUAGCAAAC
rnacentral:lncRNA from 1 species